AGCGAACGCUGGCGGCAGGCUUAACACAUGCAAGUCGAGCGGGCAUCCUUGUGGUGUCAGCGGCAGACGGGUGAGUAACGCGUGGGAACGUGCCCUUCGGUUCGGAAUAACUCAGGGAAACUUGAGCUAAUACCGGAUACGUGCGAGAGCAGAAAGGUUUAUCUGCCGAAGGAUCGGCCCGCGUCUGAUUAGCUAGUUGGUGAGGUUAUGGCUCACCAAGGCGACGAUCAGUAGCUGGUCUGAGAGGAUGAUCAGCCACACUGGGACUGAGACACGGCCCAGACUCCUACGGGAGGCAGCAGUGGGGAAUAUUGGACAAUGGGGGCAACCCUGAUCCAGUCAUGCCGCGUGAGUGAUGACGGCCUUAGGGUUGUAAAGCUCUUUUCUCCGGGACGAUAAUGACGGUACCGGAGGAAUAAGCCCCGGCUAACUUCGUG
rnacentral:rRNA from 1 species